rnacentral:lncRNA from 1 species
UUGAAAUGAAACUUGUGUUUCCCCUCUAAGCUUUGUGCUUUAUCUCUCUUUAACACUUGUGUGAGAUUCUUUGUGUUCUUGAGUGUUUGUUCAUUCUUGUGUGUGAGACUCACAUAAGUUUGAGCAUUGUACUGUAUCAGAGACUCACCAUCCCUCUGUGUCGUACAUUCGUUCCGCCAGCACUCCACCAAAUCGAUCCCACACGAGAGGGCGAUCGCCUGCGUGUCAAAUCACUCCAUCAUCGGCCAUCAUCUGACCAAAGGAGAGGACGACUGCCUGUCUUUGGUACCAUAUCUAUCAGCAUAAUAAGAGUCACCACCGAUUCUUAUAUCAUUUUGGUAUCCGAGCUAAAAGCUCCUACCCUGUAUAGUUUUUUUUCAUUUUUGUUUUGUUUUGUUUUGAUUCCAU